GCAGCUCCUGUCAGCUCCCUUCUCUCUCGUCCGGUCAGCUCCCCUGUAAGUCUCGCGGUCUGAGUUCCGCGCGGAGCUUACCGUGGCAACGAUCUGACCCUGCGGCUCUCGCGACACUUGCAGGGGAGCCGACCGGACCGGAGGAGAGAGAAGGCAGCUGACAGGAGCUGC